rnacentral:tRNA from 1 species
CGGGGCGUAGCGCAGUCCGGCUAGCGCACUACAAUGGGGUUGUAGGGGUCGGAGGUUCAAAUCCUCUCGCCCCGAC